rnacentral:rRNA from 1 species
GGGUACGGGGUGUUAGGGCACGACACCGGAGAGGGAGCCUGAGAAACGGCUACCACAUCCAAGGAUGGCAGCAGGCGCGCAAAUUACCCAAUCCCGACACGGGGAGGUAGUGACAAUAAAUAACAAUACGGGGUUCUUUAGGAUCUCGUAAUUGGAAUGAGUACAAUUUAAAUCUCUUAACGAGGAACAAUUGGRRGGGCAAGUCUGGUGCCAGCAGCCGCGGUAAUUCCAGCUCCAAUAGCGUAUAUUAAAGUUGUUGCAGUUAAAAAGCUCGUAGUUGAAUUUCGGGGUUAGUAGGUUGGUCAUGCCUCUGGUAUGUACUGGUCUCACCGAUUCCUCCUUCCUGAUGAACCUUAAUGCCAUUAAUUUGGUGUUUUGGGGAAUUUGGACUGUUACUUUGAAAAAAUUAGAGUGUUUAAAGCAAGCUAACGCUUGAAUACAUUAGCAUGGAAUAAUGAAAUAGGACGUUCGAUCCUAUUUUGUUGGUUUCUAGGAUCGACGUAAUGAUUAAUAGGGAUAGUUGGGGGCAUUAGUAUUCAAUUGUCAGAGGUGAAAUUCUUGGAUUUAUUGAAGACUAACUACUGCGAAAGCAUUUGCCAAGGAUGUUUUCAUUAAUCAAGAACGAAAGUUAGGGGAUCGAAGACGAUCAGAUACCGUCGUAGUCUUAACCAUAAACUAUGCCGACUAGGGAUCGGAUGAUGUUAAUUUUUUAAUGACUCAUUCGGCGCCUUACGGAACAAUG